AAGCUGACUGAUGUCUCCCCUUCCCAGUACCCUACCUCAAGGAACUUUCUGCCCAGCUCUUCCUCUGUUACUACCAGAGCGUCUGUGUGCCGCCCCCCUGUUCGUCAGGCACCCCUUUCCCAGUGCCCUCCUAUCUUCCCCCCUCGCCCUCCUCAUAGCCCUUCCUGCUAGUUUCCUGUACUCUAGUCCCCACUCCCUAUCCAGCCACCCCCAACCAGACCUGACGACUUACAAAUCUCACCCUGGAGAAAUGAUUUCCCUCAUACUGGGGCAGUUCUCAGGAGGUUCAGAAUUGCCAGGACUGUGGAUUCCCAGCAACGACCUGGCAGACACGGGGAAUCCAAGACCAUGGCAAGCGAAUAUUCAGCCUGGCCUGCGCCUUUCCUCUCCUGCCUGGGCAGGCAGACUGCACAAGCGUCUGCAUUUGAACUGGCUUCUCCGUGGAACUUGGUCUGUAACCACAGAGCAAACUGUAGAACCAGGAGCAGAGAAGGUAGGGGAUUGAAAGGCAUCGAAUCUGUUCUCAAGGAGGGAGGUGAUUGGCCAACGUGAGGUCCAGUUUUAUGUUCAUUAUCUCCUGGGUUUGCCAGUUGAU